rnacentral:rRNA from 1 species
CGGUCCUUGACAUACUAAGAACUUUCCAGAGAUGGAUUGGUGCCUUCGGGAACUUAGAUACAGGUGCUGCAUGGCUGUCGUCAGCUCGUGUCGUGAGAUGUUGGGUUAAGUCCCGNAACGAGCGCAACCCUUUUCCUUAUUUGCCAGCGGGUCAUGCCGGGAACUUUAAGGAUACUGCCAGUGACAAACUGGAGGAAGGCGGGGACGACGUCAAGUCAUCAUGGCCCUUACGGCCAGGGCUACACACGUGCUACAAUGGUCGGUACAAAGGGUUGCUACCUCGCGAGAGGAUGCUAAUCUCAAAAAGCCGAUCGUAGUCCGGAUCGCAGUCUGCAACUCGACUGCGUGAAGUCGGAAUCGCUAGUAAUCGCGGAUCAGAAUGCCGCGGUGAAUACGUUCCCGGGCCUUGUACACACCGCCCGUCACACCAUGGGAGUUUGUUGCACCAGAAGUAGGUAGUCUAACCGCAAGGAGGACGCUUACCACGGUGUGGCCGAUGACUGGGGUGAAGUCGUAACAAGGUAGGCGUAGAUGA